ACACAGACACUGUACAUUUUUAAUUUUCAUUGGGAGGGUGACUUCUAGGGGUUAUAGGUCUGUUUAAGUGGUUUAACUUUGAUACGUGUUAUAUUUCUAGAAAAGUGUCCACUUCGUUUUAGAAUUUCCAAUUUUAUGGAGUAUAUGUUUUUAAAUAUAUGUCCUUAUGAUUUUCUGGAUUUCCUCAGUGUCUAUUGUUAUGUGUCCCUUUUCAUUUCUGAUUUUGCUAAUUUGGAUAUUCUUUCUUCCUUUUACUUAAUUUGGACAAAAGUUAGUUAAUUUUCUUGAGUUUCUUAAAGAAUAAAUUCUUAGUUUCAUUGAUUCUUUUAGUUUUUUUUUUUUUUUGGUUUGUUUCUAUUUUAGUUAUUUCAACUCUGAAUUUGAUUAUUUCUUGCCUUUUACUCUGUUGAGUGUGAUUUCUUCUAUUUGUUCCAGAACUUUCUGGUAUGCUGUUAUGCUAUUAGUAUGAGAUGUCUCCAUUUAAAAAUGUAGGCACUUAGUACUAUUAACUUAUGUAAGUUGUGUAUUCAUUUUCCUUCCUUUCUUUGGAAAAGAUUAUCUAUGUGAUCUACUCUGAAGUGGACUGGAGGCUGCUGCGGAUGAUCUAUCAUGGAGCUGGGGAGAGGACUUGGAGGAGCUGAAGGAGAGGUAAAGAUCUGCUGUUAACCUACCUGCUUGGCUGGCAGGAGCAGCUCCUGGGUUUCCAGGGAAUGCUUGUUGGAGUUGGGGGCUGGAGUAAGAUAAUGAGAAGAGGAGAGGGAAGAUAGGUGAUAAAGAACUGUGUGAUCCACUGGAGAUGGGGAUCCACACUUCCCCUAUGCACAAGGAAGGGGAUAGCUGAGCCCCUGCUGGGGCAGAAUCAGGUUUGAUUCUGAGCGAGUACAGAGGGCCUGAAGAAGAGAAGGCCUUCUCUAGAAGAUUUAGGCAAGGCUCUUUUCGACAAAGGUCUCCCCCACCCUCACCCCCUACAGCGUUCCUUGAUGAAGAAGGUCCUUGCUUGUCCAAACUGCUUUAUUUUAUGGUGGACAUAAAUGCUUACGUUCUUACUUAGGGUGAACCAGGGAUUAAAUACCCUCAGUGGCAGCAUAGGCCAGGACUUCACCAUGGCUUUAGGCGGUAUUACUGGCUAUUCCUAUCAGGCUGUUCCUCACUUCUCUUGAGUCUCAAGUUCUGGCUCUUCUCGUUGUGCACACAUCCUUCUGCUUCUCUUUCUCUUCCAUAUCUCCACUAUUUAUUUGCUCACUUUUGUGCUACUCAGUAUAUCUGGUUGUCUGGCGUCAUCCCGGGAGUUGCCUAUGGAGUUAUAUGCCUUGUUCAUCCUGUGUGUCCCCACCCUAGCUACAGGGUGAAGAACAGGUGGUCAUCUGGGGCUCACUCCCUGCCCAGACCAUGUGACACCAGAUGGGGGUUGUCUCUAGGUUUUUGUUUUGUUAAACUCAGUGUUCAUUACAUAUCACAAGUUGGUCUCAAACUCACAUGCUGUGCCAAGAAGUGUUUGUGAAUCCCAAAAGGCCACCAAAGAGUCAAUUCUGAUGAAAUCACAUUAGGGUCUCUUUAUUCAAGCUCCAACUUGGGCCACACCACCGUUUCUAAUGCAGCAGGACGGGAGGAUGUGGCCCUGAGCCCAGUUCCAGCAAGCAUUUAUAGAGGAAGGAGAGGCUGUCUAGCCUGGCACACAUUUGAUUGGUGGGUUGGGAGGGGAGCAUGAUGGCCUUUAAUAUAAUUGGCUGGUGCUGGGAACCUAACCAUAAACUUCUGUUUUCCUCCGAUUGCUCGCUGUUAGGAAGUGAAGUGCAGGGGCACCUGGAGGUGCAGAUUGGUGGGGAAUAACCUGGAAACUGGUGCUCGGUACUGGCCUGUUAGUUAACUUGAGUUCAACCUUAGGUCGGGUUCUCUAAGAUGUGAGCCUGAACCCAUAAGAUCUGGUUUGCCACACACAGUCCUCUUACUCAGCAUCCUAAAUGCUGAUAUUACCCAUGUGUAACACCUUGCCACCAUGCCUGUUUGGUUUCAGUUCUUCUUAAAUGUCAACCACCUUUUCAGUUUUGGGGCUCUAUCGAACUAUCACCUUUCUUAUACAUUUUAAAAAUUAUGUUUGGCAUGAUUGGAAACAAAAGAAUCUAGACAAUUUUUAUUCAUUGUAUUUAAUUUUUUUUUAAUUUAUAAAUUUAUUUAUUUACUUUAUAUCCCAGCAUCAGCCCUCCUUCUCCCAAUUUUAUUCCCCUCAUGCAGCUCCUCCCCCAUUCCACCUUCUCCUUCUCUUUGGAGAACGAGGAACCUCUUCCUUAAGUGUCAUUACCCAGUUAAUCCUCCCCCCUUCCCGCACAUCAAAUCACUGUGGGGCUAGGCACAUCUUCUCCCACUGAGGCCAGCCAAGGCGGUCCAUUUAGGGGAGCAGGAUUAACAAACCGGCAGGCAGAACAGACCAUUUUUAUGUUAAGCGGAAAUUAUCUUCAUUUUAUUCCCAGUACCAUAUCCUGGGGCUGAGGACCACACAAGUGUACAUUUCUUGUAUGUGAGAGCUUUACAUGUUUGAAGGUCACUAUUGUAGCACUUUUAUUCUCUUCUGUUUAAACUGUUCACUUUCUUGUCCCUAUAUUGAUCAUGAGCUCAAUAAACCAGCCCUGUUUAGCUGAGAUCGAUGUCUGUGUAAACCUCUCAGACUCAGUGGGGCAAUUUCCAGACCUUAUCUGGACUCAAGCUGUGUGAACACGUGGCUUGGUAUGAGUGUAGAGCAUUUCUUUCUCUGUACUAACUCUCCCUAGGCCUAGGUCUGGAAGCUUUUAUCAUCUGUACAAUUUAAUAUUUCAAACUGACUGAUUCAAUCUGUCUUCUCUUGACUUGUGACUGACUUGCUCUAUUUGCUUGCCCUCAUACUAACUUGGGCAAUAUGUUCUAAUUUUCUGUUUCCUUCUCAUUGUCUGGCCUGUUCAAUCUUCACCUGUAUCUAGUGUGUUCUCUGCAACCUGUCUCUGUAAAACUGCCCUGACCAAACUGCCAUAAACACCUGCCCCUCUUGUUGCUCUUAAGUGUUUUCUCUUUCCUAUCUGUUCUCAUUAGGCUUAUCUCAUUUUGUCAUGUCACUUUGUUUUCCUCUCUAUUAGACAUCACUUUCAAACAUGGCUGCUUCUUUCUACAAACUAACCUUUAUCUUCACUGGUAGAGAUUAAAAAUGUGUGCUAAGGGCACGUCUGUGUUCCAGCCAGAUCCAACUGUAAUCCAAGGUGUGUCUGCAUUCUAGAUCAUAGGUAGAUCAUAGUUUUAGCGUUCAUCCCUGUUCAGCUAUGUUCUUCUGCCCUUUUCAGUAUGAGAAUUUUUUUCCUUCACUGAAAUUACAGGGGAAUCCAAGUGAUUUUGUUCACUUCUUUUUGGAUGUCAAUUUAUUUCUUUAUUUAUUCCCAACAGAUUUAAUAUCCUCUGCUUUUUUUUUAAUCUACCAAAAACCUCUUUUUUUUUAAUUCUUAGGAUUUUUCCUUUCAAAUUCAGCUCAUUGAGGACUUUGUAUUUACAGUAAAUUAAUGAUUUAUCUGAUACAAGAUAAAAUUUAUCUACUCAGCUGUUAUCAUUUUCCAUGGUAUCAGAUUAUCUUUACAGAACAGUAUUUCAAUGAAAAAUUUUGGGAUUGUUAGUAUAAUUCAUUUUGGCUUUUUUAAAAGUUGGAAAUAUUUAAAAUCUAGGGGAAAGUUAAAAAAAAACAAAAACUAUGCACCAGGACCCUUGGAUGGAUUUGUUUUUAAUAUCUUGCCAUAUUUUCUCCUCUAUCUCAUAUAUACACAUACAUACAUGGAUAUAAAGUAUGUGCAAAUACAUUAUAGUAUAAUUCAUCAUAAAUAAAUACACCGGCAUAGGAUUUCCAAGAUUUCAUUAUAGUAUCUAAUGAUAACUCCAUUAACACACUGAAAUUCAAUAUUUGGUCUAUUUUCAAAUUUCUGUAUUUGCUAUGAAAUUUUAUAAAAUUUCUCUAGAUUUAGGACUUUUGUUUUAUCUCUUCGUGUUUGUAUGUGACAAUGGGUCUGAGUAUGUCGCUCUGGCUGGCCUGAAAAUAUCGAUGGAGACCAGGCUGGCCUUGAACAUCAGAUUCUCCUGACUCUGCCUCUCAAGUGCUGGGAUUAAAGGUGUGUGCCACCACUGCCUGGUCCUGAUAUUGCACUAUUGAUAUUUUACACCAGCAAAUUUUUGAGGGUUCCACAAGUGUCCUGCGCAUUGCAGGUUGUUUGUCUCCAACCCUGGCUUCUACCCACCAAAUCCGAUUGACCUCAUGCACUCUCCGAGGCUGUAGCAUCGAAGUGUCCCUACACAUUGUUAAAUGUGCCCACGAGCUUCUGACCCAGCACCUGACUGAGAACCAUCACCUAGAAGCUAAAGUUAAAAGAACACUGGUAAGUGUAUUUCUUAAGAGACGUUAAUGUCUAGUGGAAGGGAGCACACAUCAGGCUGAGCGACUGAUUCCAGGACUCGUUUAAGGCAUUCUUUGUUGUAAGGAUAAAGGCAUUUCCCCCUCUGCUGUACACUAUCAUUUUAAUACACUGCUAUGCGAAGAUUUUGUAUUCCUAUGGACUUUUAUCCAGUUUAUUUCAAAAAUUCAAUGUGCCAUUAAUGUCAUGAUUUUAGUUUUUGAUGCUCUUAUUAUAACAAAUUCCUCCAGUAGGAAUCACACUCUUGAAGUGGGUUUGGUAUUUUGUGCAAUGUUUAACUUUAGUCAUAAGCACCUGCAAUGGUAAAUUCUUAUUGUAUCACACUGAAUGUGAGAACCAGUUUAAAGGCUUAUUUAUUCAAUAGUUCUGGUUACUGGGACAUUAUAACUUUCACUUAAUUUACACGAAUAAAAAGUUAUGUUUGGGGCUGGUGAGAUGGCUCAGUGGGUAAGAGCACCCGACUGCUCUUCUGAAGGUCUGAAGUUCAAAUCCCAGCAACCAUAUGGUGGCUCACAACCACCCGUAAUGAGAUCUGAUGCCCUCUUCUGGUGUAUCUGAAGACAACUACAGUGUACUUACAUAUAAUAAAUAAAUAAAUCUUAAAAAAAAAAGUUAUGUUUGCUAUGGUCUAUUUAAUAACAAAGUUGGCAAUUAACCUGAGCUGUCCAUUUACUUUUAUUUAUUUUUUUCCCCCUCUGUGUUCAGGUCAGCUUGUACAUAUAAACACACUUGCUGCUCAUGGAUGAUUUAAAACAUUUUCUACCACUGCAAAUACUAGGAAAGAAAUUUAUUCCAGUUUCUGAACAUGCUGUACACAUUUAAUUAUACGUAGGAGCAAAUGUGUGUUCAGAAAGACAUCAUAGCAUAUUUCCCAAGGAAGGCAUAGUGACUUUAGAACUGUGAACAGCUAAAGUGAGAAAAUGGAGAUUUCAGUUAACUUCUGGAUGCUUAAUACCCUUCUUUCUCUAAUAAGUUGCUUUUAAGUCUCAGGAGCAGCUGCCAAUUUUGCAGUCUCUCCGAAGUCUGGCUCAGUGACGGUGACAGUAAAGGUGAAGCAGCCACCGCGACGGGUUGCAGACCGAAUAUAAGUUAUUUUUUUAUUAUUAGAUGUUUUCUUUAUUUACACUGCAAAUUUUAUCGACUAUAAGUUCUUAAAUAGCCUGUAAGUCUGCAGAAUCACUGGGAAAUAACUUGCCCCCGACUCUCCUCCUCCGCGCCACCGUCCCAGGAGGAGAAGGACCCAGAUUCUGGAGUAAACUUUUUAGGAGCACCAACAGGCCCGCCCCGACCCAGAAACCUCUUCUCUGAUUGGGCUGUGUGACUCCUGAUUGCCCAAUCACGAUAGGAGCGUUCCGGCGCAGCUCGGUGGCGUCGCUGCGCGUGCCCAGUCGGGGACACGCCGUGCACCCCGGUCCUCCCGCGUGCGGCAAAGGGCACGGCGUAGGGCGGUGCUAGCCCGGUUAGGUGCCGGUGCCAAGGUCGCUGGGCCACGCUGGGUUAGGGCUACGCCCAGCAGGAGGGUGACAAGAAAAAAAAGUCUUGUCCCUGUUGCCCAGUUUCAAAGCCAACUCCCUUAAGUGCAGGGUUAGGGUGUCGCGCUCACCCAACUGCCUGCGGGGACCCAGAGUGGGGUGCGAGCCGCAGUCUCUGAGCCUCGGCCGACCGCAAGGCCGGGCGAAUGGAGCGGGCCCUGGUGACAACAGCCAGCUCGGGUGCAGAAUGGGCUGGGCUGCACCGCCCCAAACGUGGCCGUGGUAGCAUCAUCCCCGAUGCGCCGCCGCCCGGGCCGCGGGGGUCCGUGUCCCGCCCCGUGAGGCAGCCUAGUCCCUGGGAUGCGCGGCUCCCGCAUGUGUGUGCAACUUAGAAAGUGACCAAGCAGCCCGGUCCCCGGCAGCAGGAGCGGCGCCAACCAGCCUAGCCUAGCGCCGUCCCCCGCGGCGCCGUGUCCGAUCCCCGGCCCAGGCCGCGUUUGGCGGCUCGCCGCUCCCAGCCCGGGCCGGCCCCUGCGGCCGCUCACAAAACGCGGCGAGCGGAACCCGCACGCGGAAGCGCCCGUCUCACUGAGCAUGCCCAGUGGCACAGUCGAACAGAGGAGUUUUUUUUUCUUUUUCUUUUCUUUCUUCUUUUUUUCCCCCUCUUUCUUCUUUUUCUUUUUUCUGGGUCUCCAGUAGGAGGCCCGUCCCCCACCCUCAGUUCAGACCCCCGCCGUCCCCGAGCCUGAACAGCUAACCAUGGCCGAGGUGUCCGGCGCCGCGUUGUCCCAGGCGGGUUGGUACCUUUCAGAUGAAGGCGUUGAAGCCUGCACAAGCUCUCCUGGGAAAGGCAGCAUAAAUGACAUCAUCCUGAUUGCUCUCAAUCUUGAAGGUCCAUGUGUCUUACAAAUUCAGAAGGUCCGCAAUGUUGCUGCGCCAAAGGAUAACGAGGAAUCGCAAGCUGCGCCAAGGAUGCUCCGCGUGCAGAUGACGGAUGGGCAUACAAGUUGUACGGCAGUAGAAUUCAGUUAUAUUUCAAAAAUAAGCCUGAACACACCACCUGGCACAAAAGUGAAGCUCUCUGGCACUGUGGACAUAAAGAACGGAUUCCUGCUCUUAAGUGACUCUAACACCACAGUUCUUGGUGGUGAAGUGGAACACCUAAUUGACAAGUGGGCUUUACAGAGAAGCUUAUUAAAGCAUAACAGAAGCAAUAUUGGAGCUGAAGGUGGCCCACCUCCUUUUCUACCUUUUGGGCAGAAGUGUGCAUCUAACGUCCAAGUGGAUAGCAGAGAGCUUGAUCGAAGAAAGACAUUACAAGUUUCCCUGCCUGCCAAGCCUGCAAAUGAUAAUGAUGAAUUUGAAAAGCAAAGAACUGCUGCCAUUGCAGAGGUUGCAAAGAGCAAAGAGACCAAGACAUUUGGAGGAGGUGGAGGUGGUGCCAGAAGUAAUCUCAAUAUUGGUGCUGCUGGUCACCGAAAUAGGGAGGUUUUACAGAAGGAAAAGGCUUCCAAGUCAGAGAGCAAGAACGAAGGUGUCUAUAGAGAAUUGGUUGAUGAGAAAGCCCUGAAACACAUAACAGAAAUGGGCUUCAGUAAGGAGGCCUCAAGGCAAGCGCUGAUGGAUAAUGCCAACAACUUAGAAGCAGCACUGAAUGUCCUUCUGAACAGCAGUAAACAGAAGCCUGCUGUGGGCCCUCCUGCUAGAGGAAGAGGGAAAGGCAGGGGUCGAGGACGAUCAGAAGAUGAGGAAGACCUGGGAACCGCAAGACCGUCAGCACCAAGCACGUUAUUUGAUUUCUUGGAGUCUAAAAUGGGAACUCUGAAUGUGGAAGAACCUAAGUCACAGCCACAGCACCUUCAUCAAGGACAGCACAGAGGAUGGAAUGCCGAGCAAAAUGGGAUGAAGGACGGCACUCAGUCAAGACAUCUUCCUCGAAACGAUACCAGGCAGCCAAGAAAUGAGAGGCCACCUCGCUUUCAAAAAGACACCCCAACUUCCAAGUCAACUGUAGAAAACAGCGUAUUAUCUAGAAAUAGAGGCUCCGAAAGGCCGAGUAGUUCCUCAGGUUCUGAUGUAUGGGCAGAAGAGAGGAUCAAGUGUGACAGGCCAUAUUCUAGGUAUGACAGAACUAAAGACGCUUCACAUCCUCUAGGCCUUCAGCACAACGAUGGUGCUUUUAAAAAGAGAGAGAACUCUAUGCAAAACAGACCAGGAAGAGGCCCUUUGUAUGCAGAGGCCAAAGAAAACCCACUUCCUCCAGAAUUCGUAGAUUACAAUAAUCAAAGACGUGGGAGAAGAGAAAACCAAACAGGUCAUCCUGAUCACUGUUAUGAGAGGAAACCACGGACAAUGAAUAGUGAAGCUGUUAGUGGUCUAAAAAUUGAGAAACAUUUUAGUGUAAACACUGAUUACCCGAGGCCUGUGCAGAGCAAUAGUCUUGGUGUUCCAAAUGGAGAGACAGCUCCGCCUCUGAAAGGAAGGCGCGUAGGACCGAUUAAGUCAGCAGGACCUGUCACAGCUGUGCCCUACGAUGAUAAAAUAUUUUAUAAUAGUGGGCCCAAAAGAAGGUCUGGGCCAAUUAAGCCUGAAAAGGUGAUAGAAUCAUCUAUUCCUGUGGAGUAUGCAAAAGUGUGGAAACCUGGCGAUGAAUGUUUUGCACUUUAUUGGGAAGACAACAAGUUUUACCGAGCAGAAGUUGAAGCCUUGCAUUCUUCGGGUAUGACAGCGGUCGUUAAGUUCACGGACUACGGCAACUAUGAAGAGGUGCUACUGAGCAAUAUCAAGCCUGUUCAGACAGAGGCAUGGCUGACGGGAUGGCUCAGUGGAUAAAAUACUUGUUGUAAAAGCUGGAGGACCUGACGCUUGCUCCCUAACGCCCACGUCAAAACCCAGACAUAAUCCACGGGCUAGGAGUUGAAGACCGGAGAGUCCUGGGCUCACUGGACAGCCAGUGAAGUUCAGCAAAAGUCUGUCCCCAAAACUAAAGUGUAAAGUGAUAGAAGACUGCAGCAUCUACCUCCAGGCUCCUUGCAUACAUGCACACGUAUGCACAUACAUACAGCUGCGGAUGUGCACAGAGCAUACACACACAUACACACACACACACACACACACACACACACACACACACACACACACACACAGGCAUACAAAAUACUAAUGGAAAAUAAAAAUACAUUUCUCUAUUUUUCUAUUUAUUUCAUGAUUACAUCUAUUGUCUUGUUUGAUUUUGGAUUUUUUAAUAUAUAUAAUUUUUUAUUAGGUAUUUUCUUCAUUUACAUUUCGAAUGCUAUCCCAAAAGUCCCCCAUACCCCCCCACUCCCCUACCCACCCGCUCCCACUUCUUGGUCCUGGCACUCCCCUGUACUGGGGCAUAUAAAAUUUGUCAUACCAAGGGGCCUCUCUUUCCACUAAUGGCCAACUAGGCUAUCUUCUGCUACAUAUGCAGCUAGAGUCAAGAGCUCCAGGGUACUGGUUAGUUCAUAUUGUUGUUCCACCUAUAGGGUUGCAGACCCCUUUAGCUCCUUGGAUACUUUCUCUAGCUCCUCCAUUGGGGGCCCUGUGUUCCAUCCAAUAGCUGACUGUGAACAUCCACUUCUGUGUUUGCCAGGCACUGGCAUCGCCUCACAAGAGACAGCUAUAUCAGGGUCCUUUCAGCAAAUUGAUUUCGGAUUUUUAAUGCAAAAUAUUGUCAUGUUGUCCAAGCUGGCCUUGAACUCUCCUGGGCUUAAACAGUCUUGAGUAGGUAGAAGUAUAGGUAUAUUGUACUAUGAUUCACCUUGCUUCCUAUUUAAACAAUAAAACUUAGCCUGGCUGGGUGUCAUAUGCUAGAAAUCCCAGCAUUCAGGAGGCUGAGACAGGAAGUUCACACAUCCAGGAUCACAGGGGACUACUUAUUCUGCAUGACUACCCUCACUUAUGGAAUUAGACUCUAGUUUUGAAUGGAAAACACAUUUAAAAGUUACUCUUUCAAACUCAAAUAGCAUUCAUAAAAAGUCAUUAAUUCCACUAAAGAUACUUUCCUGAAAAAAAGCCUAGAGGAACAAGGAAACCCCCAACUUAGAUACUGAUAGGGGAGAUGAGGCGUUGGGGCAGACGGAGCAGUGAGCUAAAGAAGCCUUGAGUGGGUAAGGACAAGGCAUGUGAGUCAUUUAAUUAGGCGAUGUGCAGCUUGUACAGCAAAUCAAAGUCAUAGGAGACAUUAAAAGGACGACAAUUGUUAUCCACAUUUUUCACUUCAAAGGCACUUAGAAUUAUGUAACAGUGAGGCUUUGACAACUAGUAUUUAGCCCAAAUGCCUGUUUGAUCAUAGACUUGCCAUUCUUGCUGAUAAAUUCUUUGAUAAGUUAGUGUCUGUAUGAGUGCUAAAAACAAAAUUUGCUUUGGCCUUUGAAGACACUAAAGUAUGUUUGGUUUUGUCUUGUUUGUUUUUUCACCAUAUUUUGGGAAACUUGCAAGGUUUACCGUGUGGACAGUGUUCAUUUUCUUUUUUGGUAUAAGGUCAGAAACAACUGUAUGUCUAGUUUAAACCUAAAACAUCCUUUUAAAUUAUGGACCCAGAACCUCAUCUGUGUGUCUUCUUUUUAAUGUUUUUAAUUAAUUUUCAUGAUGCUGGUGAUUGGACCCUUAUCCAUGCAUGCUGUAAGCACAUUAUUCCACAGGUGAACUGCAAAUGGUAUUUAAGCUUCCGUUUAAUACGUUUAUUACAUUUGAUGUGAUUUAUUUAUUUAUUUAUUAUCUAUAACCUAGCAUCAUAAUGAUCCCUACCAGGUGUUGUGGGCUGUAAUUCAGCCCGUUCCUGGAGAUAUGAAAGCUGCCAACAUGGGGGAGGGGCUUCAUUUACCCAUUAGUAUACCCCAUACUCACAAAUGCACAGUCCUAAAACUGUUCGUAACCCUUGAAACUCAGAAUCAUUGGUAGAAGAUAAAGUAAAUAGAAUAUUAUGAAGACUUUGAGGCGUAGCCACAACCCUCUCAGAGUGUACUACAGAGGUAUUUUAUGCCAUCAUUGAGAUUAUAUAAUUUUCAGGAUCUAUGAAAAAGUAUGUCAAGAUUUUGAUUAAAAAAUGUUGUGAUCUCUUUAAAUCUUAUUUAAAGACCUUUUCAAACAGUUUUAGACUAAUUUGAGAUGCCUUUUAUUGAUCAGUAAAAGUAUAGAUUGUAUUAUUGCAUUCUUUUGUUUUUUUCUGAAGGAUGAGAUUCCUCCCAAAGUGAAGUAACAUGGCAGGUACUACCCUGCCCUGAUGCCUUAGUUUAAAGCUAUUUUAAUAAUACUCCUCAGGUUUGUUCCUAAACUUAAUUAGAGUUUAUAAAGUAAUUUAUGGUAGAAAUUAAAUAUUAAUAUCACAUAUCAGGUUAGCAUAAAAUUGCCUUUUUGCAUAUUUGAAUAAUUCUAGGAGACAUCACAUUAAUCUAUUAUUGCUUAAGUUUCUCCUUUACCGAUGCCAACCUAAAGUAUAGGCUUAUGAAUAUAUUAUGUUGGUUAAUUAAGGAAUUAAUUUAUGAUUAUCAUUUAGUGAAUAUAAUUUUUAACAUUUUCCAUAAAAGCAGUUUUUAUGGGUAUAGUGGGUGAGGGCCACAGCUGAAGUCCCUGGGGUUGUCACGUGCACUUUCUUUCCCUCUGACGCCUGAAUCAGCAGGAGAGUCUGUCUGUAAAUACUGCCUUUCUGUUUGCCUUGAAGCCAUGAUUUCACUGUUGUGAGUUCUACCACCCCAUUUCAAAUAUAUGCAGAGUAUAUUUGCUGAUCUCCUUAUUGCUGAGGAAAUCAAGUAGCAAAAUAAAUAAAUAUGAAUGAUAUUUUUGUUAAGUUUAUUUCUGUGUCCCUGAAAUUUCAGCCUUAUGUUAGGAAUGUGCCUUAACAAUAUUAAAUGAUAGUUCAUUUUAUAGAUUCUGUUGGAUUGGAAGGUCUGAUUUUCUUGAAUUAAGUUUCUGGUGAAUUUUUGGACAAUUUCACCUGCAUCUAUAAUGGCAGACAAUAUUGUCCCUCACUGUGUGCCACAGGCUCAGUUUCUUUUCAGUUGAAUUCUGUCAGUGCAGCUUUCGGUCUGUCCUUAGUGAUGUUGGUAAAUCCUGAUAAUAUUGAACAGUGAACAUACUGUACGUAUUUGAUUUUUAGUAGAGUGAAUUAUGAAUAAUCCAUUUCUUUUAAAUGUUUAUGUUAUUUGUGUUUCCUUAUUUAAUGUUAUUAUAUUUUCAGCAAUCUUUGAUUUCAUUCUGUUUUCGAAACAUUCUUUCUUUGAUUUUUGUCUCAAUUUUUUUAAUCAGUCUGGUAGGCUGAUUGUUUGUAACUUAAGUCACAGUCUGGGUAUACUUUUCUGGACCAAUUCUAUCUGUUAUAGAAUCCUAUACAUAAGGUUCUAUCAUCAUAUCUCUAGCAAAGAGCAGAUUUGUCCUAUUUUCCUGUGAGAAACACUUUGGUGCUGCAGCUGCCAAUAAACUUGGAAACUCCUGGCAAGUGCUCCUUGCACUCUAGCUUGGAAUGACUGACUCCUUCAUGACCUGUCCUUGGCUCGGAGCUCCACUCAGAAGGCAGAGGGGCUGAAGGCAGAGGGGCUGCUGCACCUGUGAGAGGCUUUCGGUUGCCUUGACAAUGGAGGGAGAGGUUCUAGCCAAGCCGCUCAGAGCAGCAGCCUAAGAAAGCGUCCCUGUGUUUGAGCUACCUCCCGCCUGAACAGUCUAGGUUUCUCAACUCUGUUCUGGGAACAUGAGUACUUAAACAAAUUUGGAAAAAUGUGAGUCAAGUCUGUUUUUUAUUACAGAGCUUCCUUGAUUUGAUAUCAAAUGAAUAAGAACAUUACGUCUACCAAGAAACAGAGUUAAACUACAGAGCUUCACCAACUCACUUGCUCAUGGAACUCUGCAGUUCCCCUUUCCCGAGAACCUGUGCAGCUUCUCUCUCCAGCUUUCCUAUUUCCAUCGAUAAGAUGGCCCCUAAAUAUAUCAAACCAGUGUUCUCCAACAUCCCAAGGUUUUUACCUUCUCUAAACAAAGGGCAAAAUAUAUUUUCUAAAAAAGUCUUAAGACACUUUCUGUCCUUAUGUUUUUAGCAAUUGGAUUUUAUUGCAUAAGGAGGAUGAUUUUAUUUUAAUUUUUAUCUAAUUCUGCAAGUUUUUAAUAUAUCAAUUUUAAGAAAUUGUUCCUUGGGAAGAUUUCUAUUGUAACAUUCCUUUUUUUUUUUUAAAUUGUAACAUUCCUAAUAUGGCUUUUUCUGAACUGACCAUAAUAUUUCUAUAUUCCUACAAUCAAUGAGGUAUCUUCAUAUGUGUUUUUCUCCAACAAUCUAGCUCCUAUUAUUUUGUUUUGUUUUUGUUUUUGUUUUUUUUGAGACAGGGUUUCUCUGUGUAGCCCUGGCUGUCCUGGAACUCACUUUUUAGACCAGACUGGCCAUGAACUCAGAAAUCCGCCUGCCUCUGCCUCCCAAGUGCUGGGAUCAAAGGCGUAUGCCACCAUUUCCGGCUUCCUAUUAUUUUGUUAAGCUACCAUUGGUUAUAUGUACAUACAUACAUACAUACAUACAUACAUACGUACAUACAUACAUAUAUAUAUAUACAUAUAUAUACAUACAUAUAUAUGUAUGUACAUAUAACCAGUGUAUAUAUAUAUAUAUAUAAACUGUUCAGAUCAGUUAAUUCACCUGGGUGUUUCUAAGUGGAGAGGUAGCUGAUGGGACGGCAAAGCCAUCAAGCAUGGCUCUCUUUCUAGCAGCUUAGUGUAUUCUCCCAGGUCUUCAGACAUUGUCAUUUUGACUCAUUAGAAGCUGUUGCUUUGAGCCGCUUAGGAAAGAGACUCUUGUCUUCUUCCCAGGGUCUCUGUCCUUGUGUUCCUUGCGCCAUUCCUUAAAUCAGAUGAGUGCAUGAUCCAGAGCUUCACUUCCUAGUUUGUCUCUGUUGGAGGAGGAAGGCUAUCCUUACGUUAAAAAAUACCCACCUUGCCGAUACUUAAAAAGCAAGUCAGAGCUAGCUGCUGGAUACAGCUGGUAUCCAACAAAAGGAAUCAUAGAAAUAAUAAGUGAUCACAUACUGUAGGUACAACCUUUCCUAAAGCUGAUAGCAUCAGAGUUUUACAUUUAUAUAAAAACUGAGUUGGGACUCACACAGUGAACGUCAGUAAUUACUGAGUAAUUAAUAUAAUUGCAGUAUCAAAAACUCCUUCAACAUCACAGCUCCAUAUGGUAAUUUCUCCCAAGGACUGUGUUAUUUUUGUGUAAAAGACUGUAAUCAUUUUGGAAAAUAGGUUGCUUGUUUAUGUGACAUGGGAGGUCUUCUCUCUAGUACUGGUAAGAUGAUCCUCUGAAAUGACAGUCUGGCAGCGUGGCUUGGGGUUACAGCUGUUGGAGCGUAUGUCACAUGAAGGGAUAGUGUAGAGAAAUUAACCUUGGAAGGCAAUAUUGGUUUUCUGAGACUCUUGAUUUUUUUUUGAUAAUCUCUGGUAUUUUAAAAAUUAUGAAUAAAUACAUUUUAUUUUCUCAGAUGGUAUAAGUAGGAUAUUAGGGUCACUCCUUUGAGUUAUGACUUACAAAGAGCUUAUUAUGCAAAGUAUGGGAUUAGAAUUUAGCUUAAUUUAGCUCUGUAUGGUUCAAACUCUAAAAAUUGUGAUCAUAUAAUCUUUUUAAAUGUUGACAAUUAUUUUUAGUACCACUUAAUGAAUGUCUUAGGACUAUAUAAUAAGCACUUAUCUUAGAAGACUUAGGUUAAAAAAAGUUUGCACUAAUAUGUAAAAAGUACAGAAACAUGUUUUCUGAUAAGAUGUCCAAAAGACUCCAUCAGUAUUUUAAAUAUGAAACGAGUCUUAAACAGAUCAAGAGCUCAGGAUAUUGAUCCUUUAAACUUUGUGUAUCUUUUAGGUGACUCCCCCUCAUGCUUACCUCCCUUCUCUGCCUCUCUUCUUCCUCCUUAUUCAAGCCUUUACCCUCUUCUUCUGUCCUCCCUUUAUCCUUCUCAUUUUGAAGGUAUCAAGUGAUUGACUCUUCGAGUGGAUAUUUUACAGCUUAGAUUGUGCUUCUGCUGUCUGAUUUAAGUAGUGUUGGAGGCUUAGAAAACAGCUCAUGGCUUUGGGCUCAAAGACCUUCCUAUAGUUUCUGCUGUGCUCUGUAUAAAUGCAUGCUUUGCACGUGACCCUACCUGUUCUCAUAAAGACAGACAAUUAGGGUCUGAAAUGUGUGCACACUUAGCUGUAAAAUGGUCCAGAAAUGAUGAAAAGGUAGCACAGGCACAUGCAAUUUGAUUUGUUUCCUAUUAUUCUUAGUACAUUAGAAAAGGAAAUACAAUUUCUCAUUGAAUUUGUUUAUAUUUUGUUAGAAAUGCAAGUAAGAAAUUAAGAUAUAUUUUCUUAGAAGAUGUUAAAGUAUUAUUCUCCAAGCUAGAUAGUAGAAAGUCUUAAGAAAUGUAAUUCUAAAACACAGCACUAAAAGUAUUUUAGACAUAAUAUAGAAAAGAAUAUAGGUUAUAUCAAAAUAAUAAUACAUGUUUCUGUUGAAAAUGUGGGAUAUGAAAGACAAUGCAUGGAUUUUCAUUUUAAUGAUUAUAAGUUUUAAAUAUGGCGUUAACCACUGAGUUAAGAUCACUAUAUGGGUGAAAAGUGGUUUCUCCCCAUGGGACACUACUGGUAGGUUGGUGUUUUGGCUCUUCAUCAGUUUUCAGAAUGAUUCUUACAGUGUAAUUUCAAUGUAAGGGAACCUGAUGGGCCAAACAGUGAGCAAAACUGCCUUAAAAAGACUUAAUUGUCAAAACUAAGACUUUGUUUUCUGAAGUGAGAAUUAUGAUGUUUUAAGAUUUCAGUCGAUUUUACCUACGUGGCAACGUGUAGGGAGAUGUAACUUUGGGCAUUGGCAUUUAUUGUCAUUCUUGAGUCCAAGGUUGGCAAACACUUUGAGAUUCUUUCUCUGUGCUCUAUCCUGAAAGGAUUUGAUGGAAAGGGUUGCAGAAAGAGAGUAAAAUGUCUGCUCUGCUCAGCCUCUGAAAGAAGGGCCAGGGCAGGGCUGGUUGUGGGCAAAUUACUUCCACCUCCCUUUUUGCCCCUGCUUCAGCUCCAGGGGAGCUGGGAGUGCACAGGAGGAAUCAGAAGACCUGGGUUCCAGUCCCGGCUCUGCCACUUACUGCCUGUGUGACCUUGGGAAGAAGAAGGCACCUAUGAUCACACCAUUGAGUUCCGCAGAGGAGGUGAUGGACAGCCACGAAGGUCUACUCGGCCAACGCAGCAGUUUUACCAACCUCCUCGAGCUCGGAACUAAUGUGAAAGGGCUUUUGUGAAGGAAGAGCCACUGACUGAAACAUCCUGGAAGCCCACUGAUAGAUUUUCCACUUCUUCAGAGAGAGACUCAAUAUGCUGGAUAUGAUUUUUGGAGAAAGAAAAAAAAGGCAGAUAUUAGGGAAACGAUUCAAUUUACACAAGGCAAUGGGGGGAAAUACUGAGUUCGAUAGAGCAAAAUAUCUUUACAAGUGGAAAACUUCUUCUGCCAUCAAUAAAAGCAUUGCAUUGUUAUAUAAGUU